UGUUGAUCACUUAAAUCACUUGAUCUUUUUAUCAAGUUUGACGGUUAUAGUCCUACUGUUUUUCAAAUUACACCAUAAAUUUUUACGGAAAAUCUGCUUUUUAUGGAGCUAUAGAACGUUGCAAACAAACUUUCGCACAGUCAUAACCUGCUCACGGUAACCGCUAUUAUGGCGCACAAGUACGAAUCCUUUGUGAAUUCCCAGCGUCGAGGCACGGUCUCCGAGAUCAGCAGUCGUUGGCAGAAUGCCCUAUCGAAAAGCGAGCUGUGCGAUGUGGAAUUCGCCGUGGGACGCCUGUUUGGCGCCGUGAAGAGACUUCGCGCACAUAAGUUGACUCUCAGCAUCAGCAGCGAUGUGUUCUACACGAUGU